rnacentral:rRNA from 1 species
UACGAAGGGUGCAAGCGUUACUCGGAAUUACUGGGCGUAAAGGGUGCGUAGGUGGUCGUUUAAGUCCGUUGUGAAAUCCCUGGGCUCAACCUGGGAAUGGCAGUGGAUACUGGACGGCUAGAAUGCGGUAGAGGGUAGUGGAAUUCCCGGUGUAGCAGUGAAAUGCGUAGAGAUCCGGAGGAACACCAAAGGCGAAGGCAGUGUCCUGGGGAGUACCUGACGCUCAGGUGCGAAAGCCAGGGGAGCGAACGGG